rnacentral:rRNA from 1 species
AUUGAACGCUGGCGGCAUGCCUUACACAUGCAAGUCGAACGGUAACGGGCCUUCGGGUGCCGACGAGUGGCGAACGGGUGAGUAAUGCAUCGGAACGUACCUUUUCAGUGGGGGGAUAACGUAGCGAAAGUUACGCUAAUACCGCAUAUUCUGUGAGCAGGAAAGCAGGGGAUCGCAAGACCUUGCGCUGAUUGAGCGGCCGAUGUCAGAUUAGCUAGUUGGUGAGGUAAAGGCUCACCAAGGCGACGAUCUGUAGCGGGUCUGAGAGGAUGAUCCGCCACACUGGAACUGAGACACGGUCCAGACUCCUACGGGAGGCAGCAGUGGGGAAUUUUGGACAAUGGGGGCAACCCUGAUCCAGCCAUGCCGCGUGAGUGAAGAAGGCC